AUCAACUUUCGAUGGUAGGAUAGAGGCCAUCCAUGGUUUUAACGGGUAACGGGGAAUUAGGGUUCGAAUUCCGAAGAGGGAGCUGAGAAACGGCUACCACAUCCAAGGAAGGCAGCAGGCGCGCAAAUUACCCAAUCCCGACACGGGGAGGUAGUGACAAUAAAUAACAAUACGGGGCUCAUUUGGGUCUCGUAAUUGGAAUGAGUACAAUUUAAAUCUCUUAACGAGGAACAAUUGGAGGGCAAGUCUGGUGCCAGCAGCCGCGGUAAUUCCAGCUCCAAUAGCGUAUAUUAAAGUUGUUGCAGUUAAAAAGCUCGUAGUUGAACCUCGGGGUCUACCCAUUGGUCAGGCUUAAUUGUCUGCACUGGUGAGAUGGAUCUCUACCUUCUGAGGAACUUUCAUGCCAUUUAUUUGGUGUGAUAGGAAAUCAGGACUGUUACUUUGAAAAAAUUAGAGUGUUUAAAGCAGACUAUCGUCUGAAUACAUUAGCAUGGAAUAAUGAAAUAGGACGGACUGAUUCUAUUUCGUUGGUUUCUAGGAUCACCGUAAUGAUUAAUAGGGAUAGUUGGGGACAUUAGUAUUUAUUCGUCAGAGGUGAAAUUCUUGGAUUGAAUAAAGACUAACUUCUGCGAAAGCAUUUGCCAAGGAUGUUUUCAUUAAUCAAGAACGAAAGUUAGGGGAUCGAAGACGAUCAGAUACCGUCGUAGUCUUAACCAUAAACUAUGCCGACUAGGGAUCGGACGAAGUUAAUUUUAUAAUGACGCGUUCGGCACCUUACGGGAAACCAAAGUGUUUGGGUUC
rnacentral:rRNA from 1 species